GAUCAUGGCUCAGAUUGAACGCUGGCGGCAGGCCUAACACAUGCAAGUCGAGCGGCAGCACAAGGGAGUUUACUUCUGAGGUGGCGAGCGGCGGACGGGUGAGUAAUGCCUAGGGAUCUGCCCAGUCGAGGGGGAUAACAGUUGGAAACGACUGCUAAUACCGCAUACGCCCUACGGGGGAAAGGAGGGGACCUUCGGGCCUUCCGCGAUUGGAUGAACCUAGGUGGGAUUAGCUAGUUGGUGAGGUAA
rnacentral:rRNA from 1 species